rnacentral:misc_RNA from 1 species
CCCCCCCCCCCCCCCCCUUUGAUUCAAACUUGCAGACUCCAAUAUGAGCUCUUAAGUAUUCAUGCUUGCUCAUGGAAAGUGACUUUGUAAGAAUAUCAGCUGCUUGCUCAUCUGUACUGCAAUACUUCAAGGCUACUACUCCAUCUUUUACAAGAUCACGAAUAAAGUGAGUCCGAAUGUCGAUAUGCUUCAUUCUUCCAUGAUGGACUGGAUCUUUUGACAUUGCAAUUACAGCCUUGUUGUUACAAAACAUUUCAGUUGCUUCUUUUUAUUCCUGACCAAGAUCUGAUAAAAGUCGUCUCAACCAGAUUGCUUGACAUGCUAAUGAAGUUGCAGCCACAUUUUCAGCUUCUGAGGAUGAUAGUGCAGUGGUUGCUUGUUUUUUUGAGCUCCACGACAUUGCUCCUGAUCCAAGACUGAAAAUGUACCCUGAAGUGCUUUUCCUAUCAUCCAUGCAGUCUGCCCAAUCACUGUCAGUAAACCCAAGUAAUUUGUGAUUUGAUUCAUAACCAUAUCAUAUACCAAAGUCAAUUAUUCCUGCUACAUAACGCAGAAUUCUUUUUGCUGCUCCAAAAUGAUGCUUUGAAGGAUUACUCAUAAAUCUUGAAACAACACCAAUAGAGAAUGAAAUAUCUAGCCAAGUAUGAGCCAAAUAAAUCAAACCUCUAACUAAGCUUCUGAAACUUCUUGCAUUAGCUUGCUCAGUACCAUCUUCAAGCUGCAAUUUUUCAUUCACAUUCAUGGGUGUAGCAGCAAAUUUGCAAUUGACCAUGCCAAACCUUUUGAGUAGGUCUAAUGCAUAUUUAUUUGCGAAACAAAUACUCCAUCUUCACUUUGCUUCACUUCAAGCCCAAGAAAGUAAUGCAACAAACCCAGAUCUGUCAUCUCAAAUCUACUCAUCAUACUAGAUUUAAAUUCAGCUACAAUAGAGUGAGAUGAGCCCAUAUAAAUUAUGUCAUCAACAUAGAGGCAUACAAUAAAAAAGUCAUUGUUACCUCACUUUCUCAAGUCAAGAGUAGGCUCAUUUUCACUCCUUUCAAAUCCAUUCUGCAGAAAAUAUGAAUUGAUCUCGCUUUACCAUGCCCUCGGCGCUUGCUUCAGCCCGUAUAGCGCCUUAUUCAGCUUGUACACUUUUUCUUCUUCACCAUUGAUCACAAAGCCAUCAGGUUGAGCAACAUAAACCUCCUCUUCCAAUUCACCAUUCAAAAAUGCAGACUUGACAUCGAGUUGAUAGAUAGGUCAUUUUAAUUGGGCAGCCAAGGCCAAAAGCGUUCUCACUAUUUCAAAUCAAGCAACAGAAGAAAAUGUCUCUUCGAAAUCGAUGCCUUGCUGUUGUGAGUAACCCUUCGCCACAAGAUGAGCCUUGUGCUUCUGUACAUUUCCAUCUACAUGGUACUUUGUUUUGAAUAUCCACUUUAAGCCAACAACAUUUUUUCCAUUGGGCAAGUUUGUCAACUCCCAUGUUUCAUUUCUUUCAAUUGCCAUGAGUUCUUCCUUCAUUGCUUGUUGCCACUCCUUCACUUUUGCUGCUUCUUCAUAAGUUGUAGGAUCUGAAACAAAUAAGGCAAAUGCACAAGAUUCAUAGAUCUCUUGCAAAGAUCUAAAUUUCCUUGGAGGUUUCUCAUCGGAUGACUCAUUUGAAGAAGAUAAGUUGCUGUCUUUUGAACUUGAACUUAGUGAACUUGUUGGGCUACUAUUAUUUGAAGUUGCGGGAGAGGAAUUUAUUGAAUUUGCUUGUGUAGGAUCUGCUACUUCAUUCAAUGAAGCUUCAGGUUGAGUUUUAGUAUUGCUGCUACUCCAAUUCCAGCUUGCUUUUUCAUUGAAAAUAACAUUUCUGCUAGCUAUCACUUUGCCUCUAAGAGGGUUAUAUAACCUAUAUGCUUUGGAUUCAAGACAAUAACCAAUGAAAAUACAUUUUUCUGAUUUUGCAUCCAGUUUUUGGUGAUUUUGAGAAUUAACCAAAGCAUAAGCAAUACAACUGAAAAUUCUUAAGUGGCUUACCAAAGGCUUUGUACCUCUCCAAGCUUCAUAUGGUGUUUCAUUCAAGACAACCUUUAUAGGAGAAAUAUUUAGCAAAUACACUGAAGUAGCAAUUGCUUCUCCCCAAUACUGAUUUGGAAGUCCCUUGCCUUUUAGUAAACUCCUUGCCAUUUCUACAGCAGUAUGGUUCUUGUGUUCAGCCACCUCAUUUUGCUCCGGUGUGUAAGGUGCUGUUAGUUCUCUACAAAAUCCAUUUCCUUCACAAAAGUGGUUAAAUUCAUUGGACAAGAACUCACCACCUCUGUCCGUAUGGAGAGCUUUUAUGCAGUUUCCGCUUUGCUUCUCUACUAAAGCCUUGAACUUCUUGAAGUUCUCAAAGGUUUCUGAUUUGUAUUUCAAGAAAUACACCCAGCUCAUGUGACUGAAAUCAUCUGUAAAGAGGAAGAAGUAAUGACUCCCUCCAAAUGACACUGUGUUCAUUGGACCACACAAAUCUGCAUGAAUUAACUCAAGACAAGUAGAAGCUCUCUAAGCCUUUCCAACCAGAAAUGAAUUUCUGGUUUGUUUCCCAUAAAUGCACCCCUCACAUAAAUCAAAAGAGUUAAUUUUUGGCAAUCCAAGAACCGUACCUUUUUGACCCAGCAACUUUAGCCCUUUGAAAUUAAGAUGCCCAUACCUCAAGUGCCAUAAUUCAGAGUCACUUUGUGCACCAGCCACCAAAGCAAAAUUUUCCACAUUUAAGACUUCAAGUGGAACCAUUUUGUUUUUGGUCAUGCGGACAUUAACCAUUAUUUGGCCUGAUUUAUUAUCUUUAAUAACACAUGAUCCAUCAUCAAACAAAACUGAAUAUCCACUAGCCAUUAGUUGCCCAACACUCAAUAGAUUAUGUGCCAAACCAGGAACAUACUGAACAUCAUGCAAAAAUUUUACUUUACCAUGGCUAGUUUUGAUUGCUACUGUGCCCUUUCCUUCAACUUGAAUAUCUUUGUUAUCACCAAGCUUGACUUUCAUCUUUUGAGUCUCAUCAAGCUCUUUGAAUAUCGCCUUCAUGCCCGACAUAUGAUUAGAGCAGCCACUAUCUACAAACCACACAUCACUUGAAAUUUCAUUAGUAUCAUAAUGAGCCAUGAAUAACUUACUUUCUUCAUCACUUGCCUCUGCAUAAUUCACUUGUUUCUCCUUAUACCAGCAAUCAGCUUUUACAUGCCCAUACUUCUUACAAUUGUGACAUUGGAUGCCACUCUUUUUGCUUUUUUGCUCAUUACUGGAAUGUCGUUGGUCAGAAACUCUGCCUCUGCCUCGACCACAACCUUUUCCACGAAAUGCACCUUUACCCCGUCCUCUUCUUGUUGCAUUGUCAGAUUCACUUGAAUUGGAUGCCUCCCCCUUCACUUGAAAUGCUUUCUCUUCAUGUUUUUCAGCUGAUCUAUUUAUCCUUGCCUCAUGAGCUUGCAAAGAACCCA